rnacentral:misc_RNA from 1 species
UUUCCGUAGGUGAACCUGCGGAAGGAUCAUUAUUGUAUAACCGAGGUGCGAGGGCUGUCGCUGACCCGAAAGGUCGUGCACGCCCGAGUGCCCUCACACACAUCCAUCUCACCCCUAUGUGCACCACCGCGUGGGUCCCCCUUUGGCUUGUUCGGAGGGGGGCUUACGUUUUCACACAAACUCUGUAUGCAGUGUAGAAUGUAUUUUUUGUUUUUGCGAUCACGCAAUCAAUACAACUUUCAACAAUGGAUCUCUUGGCUCUC